GUCCUCUCUUCAUGACAGUAGACUUGUUUCGCUCAGUGGAGCCCCAGUUAGAGGCAGAUAUGAUACCUGCAGUGGUACUGAUGACCCUGUUGUGGAGCACAGAUCUCCAGGCUCAAAGCGUCAGUCCACCAGCUGAACUCUCAGUCAGACUGGUGAAUGGGACCACUUCCUGUUCUGGGACAGUGGAAGUCUUCUACAGAGGAGAGUGGUCAGGUCUAUGUCCUAAUUGGUGGAGCAUAAUGAGAGAGGUUAAGGUUGUGUGUAGAGAGCUGGAUUGUGGGAAUCCUGUAUCUGAAUCUAGAGGACCUCUGAUUGAAGAUGGAAGAGGAGGAGUCAGACUAUAUGGUUGUAGUGGAGAUGAGUCUUCUAUUAGACAGUGUGGCAUCACAGGGGGACGUGGUGUCUGUAAUGGUGGAUAUUAUCGUCAUGUGAUCUGUUCAGGUAAGAGACUGGUCAUAUUGAGAGAUUUAUUUAUACAUUAUACAAUAUUACCAUGUAUCAUGUUUUAUGUGUUUUUAUUUCAUUUAAAUAGAGGGAGAGAUGUCAGAUGUAUUUA